CAAAGCACUAGGUGGAGAUAGGAGGAGGCCAGUCACUAGCCUCCUAGCUAAACACACAUAGCUAGGGCUAGCCAGCAUGCUAAACUACAUACACUUCGUCUAAAUGUCGCCCUUCUUAUCAAGCGAUGGCCAAGGAAAAGUGUUCGCAGAUCGAAGCCGAACUUUAUUACCUCAUCGCCCGGUUUCUGCAGUCUGGACCCUGUAAGAAGGCAGCACAGGUCCUGGUGGAGGAGCUCGAGGAGUACGAGUUGGUUCCUCGGCGGUGGAGUUGGGAUGGGGAGGAGAAGCGGCGGAGCUUCACAGAAUGGGUGGUGGUGAACCAGCACCUCCCGGCCGACUACCUGCUGAGGGUAUGUCGGAGGAUCGGUCCCCUGAUCGAGAAGGAGGUGCCCCCCAGCGUCCCGGGGGUCAGCACCCUGUUGGGCCUGGGGAGGCAGUCUCUGCUGCGCACCACCAAGACUUGCAGCCACCAGGUAUGCAGGGGGUCGAUAGCAGCAGCUCUCCACAGGGGGCGCCCCCCAGAACCCCCCGCCAUCACAGACCACUCGCCCAGUGUCGUGUCCAUCAUGGGGGCGCGACAGGCCACGGGGGCGGCCCGCUUCGACCAGGCCGUGCCCACCCUCACCUACCAGCACAUGAAGACCCACAAGCGCAUCCUGGGCCACCUGUCCUCGGUCUACUGCGUCGCCUUCGACCGCACCGGGCGCCGCAUAUUCACGGGGUCAGACGACUGCCUGGUGAAGAUCUGGGCCACGGACGACGGGCGGCUGCUGUCCACGCUGCGCGGGCACGCCGCCGAGAUCUCGGACAUGGCCGUGAACCACGAGAACACGCUGAUGGCGUCGGCCAGCUGCGACAAGGUGAUCCGGGUGUGGUGCCUGCGGACCUGCGCCCCCGUCACCGUGCUGCAGGGCCACGCCGCCUCCAUCACCUCCAUACAGUUCUGUCCAGGUGUCCGGGGCACCAGGAGGUACCUGGCGUCCACCGGAGCCGACGGAAUGGUGUGCUUCUGGCAGUGGCACUCCUGUAGCAUGAAGUUCAGCGACCAGCCCAUCAAGUUUGUGGAGCGGUCGCGUCCCGGGGUCCAGGUCUCCACCUCCUCCUUUAGUAGUGGGGGGAUGUUCCUGGCCACCGGCAGCACUGAUCAUGUGAUCAGGGUAUACUACCUCGGCUCUGAUGCCCCAAUGAAGCUCUCUGAGAUGGACGCACACGGGGACAAAGUGGUUGUCGUCCAGUUCUGCAAUAACAGCGACAGUCUGAGGUUUGUCAGCGGCAGUCGCGACGGCACGGCGAGGAUCUGGCAGUACCAGCAGCAGGAGUGGAAGAGCAUCAGUCUGGACAUCGCCGCCCGCCUGCCAGGGAGUCCUGUUGUCAACGGCGACGACAAGACCAAGCUGGUGGUCACCAUGGUAGCGUGGGACCGUGGCGACCGCACCGUCGUCACGGCGGUCUCCAACUUCCUGCUCAAAGUGUGGAACUCCCGAACCGGACAGCUGCUGCACGUGCUGUCUGGUCACGAUGACGAGGUGUUUGUGCUGGAGGCCCACCCCUUCGACCCCCGCGUCAUGCUCUCCGCCGGCCACGACGGGAACAUCUACAUCUGGGACCUGAGCCGAGGAGCCCGGAUAAGGAACUUCUUCAACAUGAUCGAAGGCCAGGGUCACGGCGCCAUCUUCGACUGCAAGUUCUCGGCCGACGGGCAGCACUUCGCCUGCACCGACUCCCACGGCCACCUGCUGCUGUUCGGCUUCGGCUGCAGCCAGCCCUACGAGAAGAUUCCGGACCAGAUGUUCUUCCACACGGACUACCGGCCGCUGAUCCGCGACACCAACAACUACGUCCUGGACGAGCAGACGCAGCAGGCGCCCCACCUGAUGCCCCCCCCCUUCCUGGUGGACAUAGACGGGAACCCCCACCCGCCGCGCUACCAGCGGCUAGUGCCGGGCCGCGAGAGCUGCAACGAGGAGCAGCUGGUGCCGCAGCUAGGCUACAUCGCUAACAGUGACGGAGAGGUGGUGGAGCAGGUCCUGGGUCAGCAGACGGGGGACAACGGAGAGAGUCCUCUGGACAACCUGAUCAGACAGCUGCAGAGCCAGCAGAACGCUCUGGGCCAGGAGCCCAGCCCAGACCGGCCGUCCCCGGACCCAGCAGACGGAGAAGCAGCUGGGGAGGACCCUGCCAUGGAGCCGGGCCAGGCUGAGGGCCAGGCUGAGGGCCAGGCUGAGGGCCAGGCUGACGUCCAGGCUGAGGGCCAGGCUGGGGGCCAGGUCGAGGGCCAGGCUGGGGGCCAGGCAGAGGGGGAAGAGGGUCCGGGAGAGGGCCAGGCGGAGGGGGUGUGGCAGGUACAGAACAACGCCCUCCCCAGCCAGCAGGCCACGGAGAGAGACCUGUUGGCCUGGAGCCACCGCACGGUGGUCAACGAGCUGCCCAAAGCCACCUUCAGGGUGAUGGAGGAGUGCAGGCGGGCCAAAGGGGAGGUGGAGUGCUCUCUGUACAACGCAGAGCGCCGCAAGAAACCAGCCAGCGGCGGGGUCAAGGUUGACCCCCUGACCCCCAGGGUCCGCUCCCUGCGCCCCGCCAGCAGUAAGAAGAAGCAGAGCCACGCCUACCAGACCCGCUCCGCCCAGGUCCGUCGCCGCGGCAACCGCACCCGUGCCUCCAGCGCUCGGCAGGGGGCCGACAGCCAGGCGGAGUCGGACAGCGACGGAGACGCCACGGAGCCGCAGGAGGUCAGCGAUGGGUCGUCGGAGGGCGACGCCCAGUGGCAGAGUGACAGCAGCUCCAGCGACUCCUCCAGCGAGUAUUCUGAUUGGACAGCGGACGCAGGGAUCAACCUGCAGCCGCCCAAGCGACCAACCAGGAGGUUGACUAGACCUCAGGGCUACAGCAGCUCAGAGGAGGAAGAGGAGGAGGAGCAGCAGCAGGAGGAAGAGGAGGGGGAGGACGGGGAGGAGGGGGAGAGACCCCCGAAGAGAGACCGGACGAAGAAGGAAAAGAAGGAGAAGAAGAAGAAGAAGUCGAAAGAGACCAAACAGAAGCCCAUGUCCUCACUGACGGGCGUGGACCCCGACGAGUGGAGACCACCCGCCUGGAUCACCGAGACCGUCCCCCGGCGAUCGCCCUUCGUACCGCAGAUGGGAGACGAGCUGAUGUACUUCCGACAGGGCCACCAGGCGUACGUUCGGGCGGUCCGCCGAGCCAAGGCCUACAGCAUCAACCCCCAGAAGCAGCCCUGGAACAAGCUGAACCUCAGGGACCAGGAGUCUGUGAAGGUGGUGGGCAUCAAGUACGAGGUCGGCUCCCCCACCCUAUGCUGCCUGAAGCUAGCCUUCCUGGACCUCCGCUCCGGCAAGAUGACGGGCGACUCCUUCUCCCUCAAGUACCACGACAUGCCCGAUGUCAUCGACUUCCUGGUCCUGCUGCAGUUCUACAACGAGGCUAAGGACCACAACUGGCAGCCAGGCAUGAGGUUCCGCAGCAUCAUCGACGACGCCUGGUGGUUCGGCUCGGUGGAGGACCAGGAGCCACUGCAGCUGGAGUACCCCGACAGCCUGUUUCAGAGCUACGCCGUCAGGUGGGACAACGAGGAGCAGGAGAAGAUGAGUCCCUGGGACAUGGAGCCCAUUCCUGAAGAAGCGGCCCUGCCGGAGGAGGAGGGUGGAGGCGUGGAGGUGCUGGAGGAGGAGCUGGUGGCCCUGCUCUACGAGCCCCAGGAGGGCGAGUGGGGGGCCCACACCCGGGACGAGGACUGUGAGCGGGUCCUCCAAGGGAUCACGGACCUCCUCACGCUAGACGUGGCGAAGGCCUUUGCGUUGCCCGUGGACCUGCGGGACUACCCGCUGUACUGCACCGCGGUGGCAUACCCCACCGACCUCAGCACCAUCCGCCUGCGUCUUGACAACCGCUUCUACAGGCGUAUCUCUGCUCUGAUGUGGGAGGUGCGCUACAUCGAGCACAACGCCCGCACCUUCAACGAGCCGCAGAGCCCCAUCGUGGCCGCCGCCAAGGUGGUGACCGACAUCCUGCUGCACUACAUCGGGGAUCAGAGCUGCACGGACAUCUUGGAUCUGUUCCACAGGCUGAGGUCAGAGGUCAGCAGUGGAGGAGAGCUGGAGGUGGCUGACGUGGACGUGGACUCAGACACCCCGGGGACGUCCUCUGGGAACCGGGCCUCCUCCAGCUCUAAGAAGCGUGGGGUGGAGCUGGACGUGAACGCGUGGAAGGGCCAGGUCAGAGACCUGAUCAGACACAUGAUCACCAGCCGGGACUCGGAGCCCUUCAGGCAGCCCGUCGACCUGUUUGUCUACCCGGACUACCGGGACAUCAUCGACACCCCCAUGGACCUGAGCACGGUGUCGGAGACGCUGGUGGGCGGGAACUACGAGAACCCCAUGGAGUUCAGCAAGGACGUGCGUCUCAUCUUCACCAACUCCAAGGCCUACACCCCCAACAAGAAGUCCCAGAUCUACACCAUGACUCUGAGCCUGUCGGCCUACUUCGAGAGCCGCAUCAUCUCCAUCAUCUCGGACCACAAGUCGGCCGUCCAGAACCAGCGGCGCAGCAGCCAGAGGCUGAGCUACAGGAAGAGGCUCCACAGCCCAGGAGGAAGCUCCUCUCCUGGGAGCCCGCCCCCCAGCCCCAAAGGGAAGCACAAGUCAGGGAAGACCAAGAAGUCGAAGUCGAAGUCGAAGCCAAACAAGUCGAGGGCCCGGAGCGAGAGUUCCUCCAAGAAGAGCCGGUCCUCGUCCCGACGGCCGCGCCGGGCUCCCCCCAGCGAUGUGGAGGUGGAUGAAGACAGCCAGCCCUCCUCUUCCUCUUCCUCCACCUCAGCCAGCCAAGCUCCGCCCCCCACCACCUCCUCACGCAGCCGGGCCACGCCCCCCGCCAAGAGAACAGUUCCCCAGCGGCCCGUCGCCCUUAGCAACGGCUCCAGACAGAGCCUGAGACGCCCGGCGUUGGCGGCGGCGGCGGCGACGGCGGCGGCCAGCGAGGAGGCGACCGCCGGCUCCUCUCGCUCCUCCUCCGGCUCCUCCUCCUCGUCCUCUUCCUCGUCGUCGUCGUCCUCGUCGUCCUCCUCCUCGUCUUCGUCGGACAGCGGCUCCGACUCCGAGACGGAGAAGUUUGUGGAGGGCUGUGACCACGACUACAGCAAGGCUCCUCCCCUCCCCAAGUCCGCCCCGCCCCCUCCCCCGCCGUCGCGACCUCACGCCAAGGGCGGCACCGCCGUCCGGGCGGCUGCCGUCGCCAGGGGCAACAAGGCGGUUGCCACGGUGACCGCCGCCACCAAACGGAGACGAGAGGCGGUGCCCGACACGCCCACACAGAGACCCAAGAGGGCGAGGGUAAAGUCUGCCGGAGAGGAAGAGGAGGAGGAGGAGGAGGAGGAGCAACAGGAGGAGGAGGAGGAGGAAGAGGAGAACGACGAAGAGGGGGAGGAUGAUGAUGAAGAGGGAGAUGAGGAGGAAGAAGAGGAGGACGCAGAGGCGGAGGUGGUGCUGCAGCCCCAGCAGGAGGAAGAAGAGGUGGAGGAGGAUGAGGAGGAGGAGGAAGAAGAGGAAGAAGAAGAAGAAGAGGAAGAGGCAGAGGAGGUGAAAGCCGCUGCUGUAGGAAAUGAAGAGGACCCUGGCGACGACGAUGAGGAGGAGGAGCCUGACGAAGAGGAGGAGCCGGACGAGGAGGAAGAGGAGGAGGCGUCUGAGUCGGAGCAGGGGGCCGCAGGAGGAGCGGCGGGGGGCGGGGCGAGCAGGCCCCGGCGCUCCAAGUCGGCCCGCGUCAACACCCGUAACCAGGGCCGCCGGACGGUCCAGUACGUGGACGAGUCGGACGACGAGGGUCAGAGGUCGAAGGACGACCCCCUGAACCUUGGGAAGUCGCGGUCGGGCCGCGUACGCAAGAUGACUGAGAAGGCCCGGGUCAGCCACCUCAUGGGCUGGAACCACUAACCCUUGACCUCUGACCCCCCGACCUUAACCUCUGCCCCCUGACCUCUGAACCCUGACCCCCAGACUCUGGGUUCCACUGCAGGGAUAACCGUUUGUUGUGUUUUUAUCUAUAUAUAUAUAUAUAUAUAUAUAUAUACGGGCUGAGUCACGACUCAGCGAACGGCCGGUGCUCCAGAUGAGGUCUGUUGCCAAGGAGCCGUCGUCGAGGGUGACGGGAGGGUGGGGGACAACAAAAAGCAAAGCCACCUACCCUCCUCUCUUCCUCCUCUUCAUCGUACCCUCCUCAUUCCCCCCCUCCUUUACCUGCUCUUUGCUACCUCCUCCUUUGCCCUACCGUUCCUCCUCCCCCUCCAGACUGUAGAUCCUAUGUCCUCCUCCUCCUCCUCCUCCCCCUCCAGACUGUAAAUCCUAUGUCCUCCUCCUCCUCCUCCUCCUCCUCCUCCUCCUCCCCCUCCAGACUGUAGAUCCUAUGUCCUCCUGUCCUCCUCCUCCUCCUCUUCCUCGCUCCGCUCCCCGGACACCAAAGAAAGGCGGGAGGUGCCAAAACAAAACGGUGCUCAUUCAAUUUUUAUUUUUAUUUAAUUUUUUUGCAGCGUGUGUUUUGUUGUUGUUGUGCUCCUCCGGUGUGCUGCUGAGCCACAAACCUCAUCACCUCGUGGGGGUCAUCGCGGGGUCUCUAGGGGGCCCUCAUAGCGUAGGGCAUGAUGUCAUCUCCUCUGCCAUUGGCUCCAAUCCCGGUGGGCCUCGAGGUCAACUUUACAUCGUCACGACCACGGUCUCUCUAGCCUCGAGGUAAACAUUACAUCGUCACGCCAGCGGUCUCUCCCUCAGCCAGCUCUGCCUCUGGCUGUGUCUAGGUCCUGGAGGUGGUCUUCACGGGACCGGGGUCUGGCCGUCUCUUCCUCCUGAGCCAGUGAACGUUAGACCGGGCCGUUCCACUGAGUGGAGCCCCAUGUUGCCCGGGUGUCACUCCCUCUCUCGUCCCCUUCCUCCUUUAGUUCCCUUCGUCUGGUUGGUACAUGGGAGACCUCGUGUGCUUGUUUGAUCUGGUCUGUAUCCUACUCUCUCAACAUCACCGGUUGAAAGUUUCUUCCGAGACCCCGUCUCUCUCUCUCCGCCCUCCCUGGUGCCCAACCGUGGACCCCUCUCCUCCUCUUCUCACCUCCUCUCUCCUCCUCUCCUCACCUCCUCCUCUCCUCCUCUCUCCUCCUCUCCUCCUCCUCUGUCAGCGCUGUCGUGUCCUCCGCGCUCAACACCUCUUCAUUAACGAGAAUACUAAAUAUUUUGUUUUUGCACACUAAAUCAUUCUGGCAGCUGGCUAAUAAAGUUGUCGGGAGGAUAUCAGUUUUAUAAGCCGAAGGCUGAACUCCUUCUCCUUCAUUCAUGCGCUCUCCAUCGUCUCCACCGCACCAGCACACUGAGUACCGGAGCUCCACCUACAGAGCGUCUGCAGCAGGUACCUACAGAGCCUGCUGCUGACGGCGCCGUCACAAAAAAAACUCAUGAACUCUUCCUUGUGGUCGCGACCCCGUGAUGUCACCCGGUUCAGCGACCAAUCAGGUUCCUCGUUGCCCUCAGAGGUCAACCCUAGAUCUCUGACCUCUGACCUCUGAGUUGCCCAUCGAGCAUGACUCUAACCCUGCGACGGUGCGAGCGGUAGAACAGAGAGAGAGAGAGAGAGAGAGAGGGAGAGGGGGGGAUGACCUCCAACUAUGAAAUGUAAUCUCAGUAGCGUCAGUGGAUGAGUGGUGCUCCCACACGUCUUCAGCAGAGCUUGGUUAUAGAGUCAGGGAUGUACAGUCAGCCUUUCGUUGCUCUUUAUGUGUGGUGUGAGAACAACGCCCGACUAUUGCUUUGGAAUUGUAUUUUCAUACGAUGAUCUACGGCGUUUGUAGGGGUACCCUUUCAGUGACUCAAUCGAUUUAGGUGAAAUAAACUUCAGUGAUUAAUAUUCUUUUUUCUUUUUUUUACACUUUAUGAUUGUAUAUUAGUUGUUUUUUUCUGUGUUUUUUUUUAAAUAAAGAAGUUGAUCUCUUGUAGGCCGGCCU